rnacentral:rRNA from 1 species
GACGAACGCUGGCGGCGUGCCUAACACAUGCAAGUCGAGCGGAGAUAGUUUGAUGGUAACUGAUGACUAUCUUAGCGGCGGACGGGUGAGUAACACGUGGGCAACCUGCCUCAGAGUGGGGGAUAACACCGAGAAAUCGGUGCUAAUACCGCAUAACGUACGGAUUUCGCAUGAUAACCGUACCAAAGGAGUAAUCCGCUUUGAGAUGGGCCCGCGGCUGAUUAGCUAGUUGGUGAGGUAAUGGCUCACCAAGGCGACGAUCAGUAGCCGACCUGAGAGGGUGACCGGCCACACUGGAACUGAGACACGGUCCAGACUCCUACGGGAGGCAGCAGUGGGGAAUAUUGCGCAAUGGGGGAAACCCUGACGCAGCAACGCCGCGUGGAGGAAGAAGGUCUUCGGAUUGUAAACUCCUGUCUUCUGGGACGAUAAUGACGGUACCAGAGGAGCAAGCCACGGCUAACUACGUGCCAGCAGCCGCGGUAAUACGUAGGUGGCGAGCGUUGUCCGGAAUUACUGGGCGUAAAGGGCGCGUAGGCGGCUCUUUAAGUCAGAUGUGAAAACCCAGGGCUUAACUUUGGGACUGCAUUUGAAACUGAAGGGCUUGAGUGCAGGAGAGGUAAGUGGAAUUCCUAGUGUAGCGGUGAAAUGCGUAGAUAUUAGGAGGAACACCAGUGGCGAAGGCGACUUACUGGACUGUAACUGACGCUGAGGCGCGAAAGCGUGGGGAGCAAACAGGAUUAGAUACCCUGGUAGUCCACGCUGUAAACGAUGGAUACUAGGUGUGGGAGGUAUCGACCCCUUCCGUGCCGCAGUAAACGCAAUAAGUAUCCCGCCUGGGGAGUACGGCCGCAAGGUUG